rfam:Clostridium bolteae ATCC BAA-613 C_bolteae-3.0.1_Cont38.1, whole genome shotgun sequence.
AAAAGCAAAGAUAAAAACACAACGCAGGAUAAAAACCUGCAGAGCUGGUAGGUAGUCCAGCCGCAUUCCUAUAGUCCUGCUUUAACUGGCGGGGAGACAGGGAUGUCAGUAACCCUCCCUCCUUGGGUCGUCCAUUCUUUGUUCAUCACAU